rnacentral:tRNA from 1 species
GGCCGAUUGGUGUAACGGGUAACACGUCAUCAUGAGAUGAAGUUUCCAGGUUCGAUUCCUGGGUCGGCGG